GAAUAAUCAAAUAGACAGCUUCCCUUAUAGUUAUUUGGAUAAAUUCAACAAACCUGAACACAUAGAACGAAAGAACUUACUAGACAAAAAGCUGAAGCAAACCUCAGCUUCAAUGUUGACAAUGUGCUAUAUUAUGCCAUUCUUAAUUGGUGAGAAGGUGAGGGAAGACGAUGAGCAAUGGAAGAAUUUUUUACGAAUUAUUCAAAUAACAAUACUGGCCACUUCCCCAAAUGCAGAUCUUGAUACUGUGGGCCAACUAGACCAGCUUGUUAGCAGCCAUCACUAUAAAUUUCAAGAACUUUAUCCCACAGAAUCCAUCACACCAAAGUUUCAUUACUGUUUGCAUUUGUCAAAUCUGAUUAAGCAAUUUGGUCCAGGUCGUAAUCAGUGGUGCCUGCGCUUUGAAGGAAAACGUGGAUUUUUCAAACAAAAAAAAGUGGCAUAAUUUUAAGAAUUUACCAAAAUAAAUGGCUGAUUUUCAUCAGAAGUACAUGUGCUACAGAAUGUUAGGCUCUAGUCCGAUGCUUUUGGAUCAUGCAGUAAAUUUCCUUUAUUCAGGCGAUUUAGUGAAAAAUGGUAGCGUAAUAGAUAUUGAGAAGGAUCUUCCAGGAUUGAAAGAACAGUGUCUGAAUUUAUUCACAAAGCACCAUUUGAAUACUGCAUAUCCACUAACAGGUUACAUAUCACCUGAAGUUUGCCUUCAUGGGCACACCUAUAAACCUGGAAUUAUUUUGCAUCUUAAUUAUGUAGAAGGUGUUCCAACUUUUGGUCUUGUGCUUCAAAACCUCAUACAUGACAGCAUGAAGUUUUUCAUAUUGGAAAACUUGAUUACUUCAGGAUUUGAUGGCCAUUAUAAUGCAUAUGUUUUGAAAGCUACUGGAAAUAAAGUAGUACAGAGUUUUAUUGAUAUUGAAAACAAGUGGCCUUUGAGUGUAUACCAUGUCAACAAUGAAAUGUAUGUUACUAACCGAUAUUGUCACUUUGUUGAAUUUAUAUAGACCUAUGGUAACAGUCAUGAGCAUGACGUUACACUGCAUCAUAGGAGAAGGAAAACUCUGAUAUAAAACCACCUGCUGCUUUAUAGGUUGUGUCUACAUAUUUAAGGCUGUAUCACACGUGCACAUUUUCCUGCGACAUCGUGUUGUGCAACAUCAUUUCCGACGACCUGCCGUCCUCGGAAAUUAUCAAAGACCGUCGUUUAUUUUUCUGCGACUACAACAAUUAAACAAUUGUCUUUGAUAAUUUCCAAGGAUGGCAGGUCGUCGUAAAUGUUGUCGCAGGAAAAUGUGCCUGUGUGAUAUGGCCUUAAGAUGAAUUGUAGGAGAAGGAUCACUCUAUUAAACAAAUAAUUAAGUGCGAGGGGGACAGGAUCCCCUACACUGUAUGGUCUCCCAGAAACAGUGGGCACACCACACACAGAGAGUGGAGUGUAUAGACACCCUUAAAACCACUAGAUUGCGCCCUCUCUGGGGUGUACCCUUUUGGCCUAGGUAUAUAGAUGGAUGGAUUGUAACAAACUAAUGAAAAAAAGUAAAAAAGAUAAGAAAAAACAUGGAAGGGCAAUUUAACCUAAACCUAUCGGAAUUAUUAAACGCUUCAUAUCAGUCAGUAUCUAUGAUGCAUUUGUGUGUUCCAUUGUGUGAAGCAUAUAUGUAUGUAUGCAUAUAUGUCAAAACUGAUUUACAACUGUCUCAACUUUAUUCCUAAAAAUGCUCCAGAAUGCCAGUUUUCCGUAUUUGGUGUGCUGAUCGCAUCAUAAGGAAAUCGGUUGUGUCAGUAGCAGAAAUUGAAGAACUAAAGAAAAAAAGCAACACAAAAACUCGGUUUGGAGUUGGUAGGACCUACGAAGUUAGUUCUAGAGAAAUGUGGUACAGAAGUGGACGACGAUGAGGUGUUGGAAGAAAUUGCUGAUGAAGUCUUACUAUUGUUGGCUGAUGGAGAAACUUAUACACCAUCUGUAGCUCAGCAAAUACCUGACUCUACUCGAAGUUUGGUAACAUGUACUACAGGCGAUGUACUUCAACCCAGCAGGAGUGCAAGUGACAACGAAAAGGCAAGCACAAGUUCAAGUGAGACAGAGGCAUAUGCCAGUCACAAAUCAUGUAACACAUUAUCAUUGCCUCUGCCAGAACUCUCACGGGCAACCCGAGAUGACUUACAACAGGGAGAUAAAUCAAGACGGGUCUGGUUGCAGCUGAUAGAAGAAUCCAAGAACUACUACAUGAAGUAUUGCCCUCUGCUUGAUGAAAACCCUUAAGCUACGGUUAC